UUUCUACUGUAAAUACUUUGAAAUUUACCAUCAACCUGGCUGAUGAUUGGCACUGUAUCCUGGGGUAAUGAAGGGAGGAAAAAAACCACAAUGGGCUUUGAAGCAGAUGUCUCAGAGAAUCUAAAAAAGUUCAAAUGCCACUAAAAUUCUCCUAUAGCUGCUCAGACUUCUCUCUUUUAGCCUACUUUCUGUUUUCAUUUACACUAAUGGAAAAUGACCAAUAUUGUAGUACUGGUAGUAGAUACUGGAACAAAUAUGGCAUCUAAUAGCUCCCUAAUUUAAAGUCAGAGGGGUUUGACCUAAAGCUCAACAAAAUCUCCCCAGGGAUUCCCUAUACAAACACACAAAACACACCCUUCCCAGAUGGUCCGUGUGGAAGGCAGAGACAGCGCAAGAAAUGGCUCUUGGAGAGUCCUUAUACUGGUCAGUCACAGGCUGCUGCGAACCAGGGAACUUCACGCACCAUCUCGUUAUUUGAUGGGGUUCACAUUCUCUCAGAUUUGUGUGUGAUGAAUAAUGCAAGUGUGUUGAAUCAAGCUGGAGGAAAAUUGUUCUUUCUCCAGCUUAUUAUUAACUCCUUGUUGCAUAAUAUAUUUGGCAUAAGUUUGUUCUGUGGCAUUUUAACAUGUAGGUAGAUGAUAUUUGUAUGCACUUCGGGGGAUUGCUGCUUUUCAGGACAGCGAGCAAGACUGGGGUCGUGGAGCCCUCUGCUGGGUAUAUUACAGAAAGCAGACAACUGGAAGCUUAAGUCAUUAACUCUGAAAAUGCUGCUGCUGUGCUCUCAUAUUCCUUUCGCAGUUGAUUACAAAUGUGCUUAAUUUGAAAUCCAAAAGAGGUUUAUUUCCAUUGCUCCUGGGAAAAAUACUGGUACAAUUUCAGAGUGGUACAGGUAAGUUAAUCUUUAUCUCAAGGUGACAAUUAGAUUUAUUAGAGUCUUUUUGUCUUUACUCUUCCUUGGUAUCAGGAAAAUUCUACAUGAAUAUUUUAUUGGUUUCUUACUGCUACACGUACAUCUUAUCACAGCUACAAAAAGGUCUUGUAGUCAAAUGACAGAUAUUUCUGAGGCUGUCUGUGACAAAAGGGUCUGUUUCAUUCCUGUAUUGUGACUUAUUUAGCUUUGUAGUGUUCACAGGUAUAAAAACUUAAUUCUUUUUGUGACAGAGAAAUGGGCAAUUCAUGUAAAAAUAAAUAGCAAAGUACAUGAAUAACAA